GUGGGGAAUAUUGGACAAUGGGCGCAAGCCUGAUCCAGCCAUGCCGCGUGAGUGAUGAAGGCCUUAGGGUUGUAAAGCUCUUUCAGUGGGGACGAUAAUGACGGUACCCACAGAAGAAACCCCGGCUAACUUCGUGCCAGCAGCCGCGGUAAUACGAAGGGGGCUAGCGUUGUUCGGAUUUACUGGGCGUAAAGCGCACGUAGGCGGAUCGUUAAGUCGGGGGUGAAAUCCUGGAGCUCAACUCCAGAACUGCCUUCGAUACUGGCGAUCUUGAGUCCGGAAGAGGUGAGUGGAACUCCUAGUGUAGAGAUGGAAUUCGUAGAUAUUAGGAAGAACACCAGUGGCGAAGGCGGCUCACUGGUCCGGUACUGACGCUGAGGUGCGAAAGCGUGGGGAGCAAACAGGAUUAGAUACCCGUGUAGUCC
rnacentral:rRNA from 1 species